GCGCUGACACCGGCAGCUCAUAUACUGAAAACUGGGACGGCACAGAGAAGAUUAACAUGGCCCCUGAGCAAGGGUGACGCGCAAAUUCGUGAAGCGCUCCAUUAAAAA
ensembl:snRNA U6 U6 spliceosomal RNA